rnacentral:rRNA from 1 species
UACAGAGGUCCCAAGCGUUGUUCGGAUUCACUGGGCGUAAAGGGUGCGUAGGCGGUUGGGUAAGUCUGACGUGAAAUCUCCGGGCUCAACCCGGAAACUGCGUUGGAUACUAUCCAGCUAGAGGAAUGGAGGGGAGACUGGAAUACUUGGUGUAGCAGUGAAAUGCGUAGAUAUCAAGUGGAACACCAGUGGCGAAGGCGAGUCUCUGGACAUUUCCUGACGCUGAGGCACGAAAGCCAGGGGAGCAAACGGG